UGGGGCGUGGUGCAAUGGCAGCACACCAGACUUUGGAUCUGUGGAUCCUGGUUCGAGCCCGGGCGCCCCAG
rnacentral:tRNA from 1 species